UACGUAGGGUGCAAGCGUUGUCCGGAAUUAUUGGGCGUAAAGAGCUCGUAGGCGGUUCGUCGCGUCGGCUGUGAAAACCCGGAGCUCAACUCCGGGCCUGCAGUCGAUACGGGCGGACUGGAGUUCGGCAGGGGAGACUGGAAUUCCUGGUGUAGCGGUGAAAUGCGCAGAUAUCGAGGAGGAACACCGGUGGCGAAGGCGGGUCUCUGGGCCGAUACUGACGCUGAGGAGCGAAAGCGUGGGGAGCGAACAGG
rnacentral:rRNA from 1 species